UCCCUUUCAUCCUCGCGCCAACGCGCCUAUAUUGGGAGCGUUCCCUUCGGGGAACUAUGGCGAUAAACGCGCGUGCAAUAACCAGACCGGACCCGGGUGCGAACCCCGGCGGCUCCACCAAAUCCUCUCGCUCGUUGGGCGGGUCUUGCGGGGCCGAAUUAGGAUCGACGGAUGGCUAAAGACGUUGCUUUCGCCCGAAUGGGCUCCGUCAAAAGCCCGUAAACAGUAGUUGCCAACGACAACUCUGCUGAAGAGUUCGCCCUCGCUGCGUAAGCGGCGCGAGCAACUCGCUUCUUAAGUCCUGUCCUCUAGCAAGGUCAGGCGGGGUUCGGGGGCGCCUGGCAACAGAAGCCCCCACU
rnacentral:tmRNA from 1 species